UGGGGAAUAUUGCACAAUGGGCGCAAGCCUGAUGCAGCCAUGCCGCGUGUAUGAAGAAGGCCUUCGGGUUGUAAAGUACUUUCAGCAGUGAGGAAGGGGUGUACGUUAAUAGCGUGCAUCUUUGACGUUAGCUGCAGAAGAAGCACCGGCUAACUCCGUGGCAGCAGCCGCGGUAAUACGCAGGGUGCGACCGUUAAUGGGAAUUACUGGGCGUAAAGCGCAUGCAGGUGGUUUGUUAAGUCAGAUGUGAAAGCCCGGGGCUCAACCUCGGAAUUGCAUUUGAAACUGGCAGACUAGAGUACUGUAGAGGGGGGUAGAAUUUCAGGUGUAGCGGUGAAAUGCGUAGAGAUCUUAAGGAAUACCGGUGGCGAAGGCGGCCCCCUGGACAGAUACUGACACUCAGAUGCGAAAGCGUGGGGAGCAAACAGGAUUAGAUACCCGGGUAGUCC
rnacentral:rRNA from 1 species